rnacentral:rRNA from 1 species
CGUGGUUAAGGAAGCGGAGCUUCCGGAGCCGUAGCGAAAGCGAGUCCGAAUAGGGCGCUUGUCGCCAGGAGCAGGCCCGAAGCCGGGUGAGCUACCCAUGGCCAGGGUGAAGGUUCGUUAAACCGAACUGGAGGCCCGAACUCGUGAGCGUUGCAAAGCUCUGGGAUGAGCUGUGGGUAGUGGUGAAAUGCCUAUCGAACCCGGUUAUAGCUGGUUCUCCCCGAAAUGUAUUGAGGUACAGCCUCAGGAGUUCCCUUGGGGAGGUAGAGCUCUGGAUGGGUUAGGGGGCGUGAGCUUACCAAUCCCAACCAAACUGCAAAUGCCCCAAGGCAUAUCCUGGGAGUGAGACGGCGGGGGAUAAGCUCCGUCGUCGAGAGGGAAACAGCCCAGACCACCGGCUAAGGUCCCUAAGGGCGAGCUUAGUGGGAAAGGUAGUGGGGCCCCUAAAACAGCCAGGAGGUUGGCUCAGAAGCAGCCAUCCUUGAAAGAGUGCGUAAUAGCUCACUGGUCGAGGGGUCCUGCGCCGACAAUGUAACGGGGCUGAAGCUCGCCACCGAAGCCGUGGGUCCCGACCUCGGUCGGGACGGUAGGGGAGCGUUCCCGUUCCGGUGAAGUCGUGAUGGAAAUCACGGUGGAGGGACGGGAAGUGAGAAUGCCGGCAUGAGUAGCGCAACUUCGGUGAAAACCCGAAGCGCCGCAAGCCCAAGGUUUCCUACGCAACGGCAGUCGACGUAGGGUUAGGCGGGCCUAAGCCGUAGCCGCAAGGCGAAGGCGAUGGACAGUGGGUCAAUAUUCCCACCCCAUCGGACGACCGUUACGAGCCGCGAGGGGGAACGGGAAGGUAGGUGAGGCGUGUGGAUGGUUUGCACGUCCUCCGCUGAAGGCGAAGCCGGGGGAGGCCAAUCCCCCCUGGAUAAGUAGCUGAGAGCGGAGGGGACCUCGACUUCGGUCGGGGAACCUCGCUAAACCUAGACCGUCAAGAAAAGCCACGCGGCCAGGGCGUCUGAUGACCGUACCGCAAUCCGACACUGGUGGGCUGGGAUAAGCGUCCUAAGGCGCACGAGAGAACCCUCGUUAAGGAACUCGGCAAGUUAACCCCGUAACUUUGGAAUAAGGGGUGCCCCUGAGGUGAACGCCCUCGCGGCGGGAGCCUUGGGGGUCGCAGCGCAGCGGCCCAGGCGACUGUUUAGCAAAAACACAGGUCUCUGCCAAGGGGUAACCCGAGGUAUAGGGGCUGACGCCUGCCCAGUGCCGGAAGGUUAAAGGGAAAGGUCAUUCCGACGCAAGUCGGGAGAAGCUUUGAACUGAAGCCCCGGUGAACGGCGGCCGUAACUAUAACGGUCCUAAGGUACCGAAGUCCCUUGUCGGGGAAGUUCCGACCCGCAGGAAUGGCGUCACGACCUGGGUACUGUCUCAACGAGGGGCUCGGCGAAAUUGCAUGACCCGUGAAGAUGCGGGUUUCCCGCAACAAGACAAAAAGACCCCGUGGAGCUUUACUGUAACUUGGCACUGGACUGGGGUCCGGGAUGUGUAGGAUAGGCGGGAGGCUUUGAACUCCCCACGCCAGUGGGGAGGGAGCCGUCGUUGAAAUACCGCCCUUUUCGGAUUUUGGCUCUAACUCCGCGCCAGCGGAGGACCGUGCCAGGCGGGCAGUUUGACUGGGGCGGUCGCCUCCCAAAAGGUAACGGAGGCGUUCAAAGGUCCCCUCAAG